GACGGACGCUGGCGGCGUGCUUAACACAUGCAAGUCGAACGGAAAGGCCCUGCUUUUGUGGGGUGCUCGAGUGGCGAACGGGUGAGUAACACGUGAGUAACCUGCCCUUGACUUUGGGAUAACUUCAGGAAACUGGGGCUAAUACCGGAUAGGAGCUCCUGCUGCAUGGUGGGGGUUGGAAAGUUUCGGCGGUUGGGGAUGGACUCGCGGCUUAUCAGCUUGUUGGUGGGGUAGUGGCUUACCAAGGCUUUGACGGGUAGCCGGCCUGAGAGGGUGGACGGCCACAAUGGGACUAAGAGACGGCCCAGACUGCUACGGGAGGCAGCAGUGGGGAAUAUUGCACAAUGGGAGGAAGCCGGAUGAAGCAACGCCGCGGGCGGGAUGACGGCCUUCGGGUUGUAAACCGCUUUCGCCUGUGACGAAGCGGUAGUGACGGUAAUGGGUAAAGAAGCACCGGCUAACUACGUG
rnacentral:rRNA from 1 species